GCUACUAUCCGUGUCAAAUAAAUUACAGAUUCCUCUAACGUGUUACGGUCCGCUCUGCGGCCCCUAACAUAAGAAAUGUAAGCUGUUAAAAAAGGAAACCAAAAAGCUGACAUAUCUGAGGUUAAUCUUUACUAACUUUUAUGGUCCGACGCACCCGCUCGUCCACGUCGGUAUGUUUUCUUUCCACGUGGACGCGAUGCGCGCCGCCGCCGCGCCGGGCUCCUCGCGGAAGUGACGGCAAGGCGGCGAUGGCGGCUCGCAGCUUCAUUCCGGACUUCCAGUGGACUACAAACUGAUUUUAAGCCCAUUGGCUGGACUUCAGGGGACCUUUUACUCAAGCGCCUCUCUUCGGAUGCCGCACAGAGCGAGGCCGCGUCCUACCGGUGCAUGUCAGCGAGCGGCUUCUCGGCUUUUUGGGGGUAUUUUCGUCCUCGGUUUCAAGGUGGUCACCCCGUCGAGCUAGCGGUAGCUUCUCGGCUAUCAGCUAACGGCGGUUUGCGCCGUGGUUCAUACAGCAACGGCAGGCAACGUGAGGCGGCUUGUUUCCCUCUCAACGCGGCUGUUUGUUUCGGUCAUAAUGCUCCGUAUGUGAAGCUAGCCGUGCCACGCGUGUGAAGAAGAGCUCGGCCUCUUUGUUUCCAAAUCGGCGUGCCAUAACACCCCUUUGAGACUCGAAGCAGGCCUGCUGUGGGAGGUCUUUGGGUGCUCAUCAACAUGCUGAAGACCCGGCAGUGUCUACUCGGCAUCCGCACUUUCCUCAGCGUCACGUCCAGAAUAUGGGGCUUCAUCAUGUACAUCCUCAGGAAGCACCUCAGAACGAUAAUCCAGUAUCAGACGGUGCGAUACGACAUUUUGCCCCUGUCGCCUAUCUCCAGAAACAGACUCAAUGGUGUAAAGAGGAAGAUUCUGGUUCUGGACCUGGACGAGACACUGAUCCAUUCUCACCAUGACGGGGUCCUGAGGCCCACAGUGAGACCUGGAACGCCACCAGACUUUAUCCUCAAAGUCGUCAUAGACAAGCAUCCAGUCAGAUUUUUUGUACAUAAAAGGCCACAUGUUGACUUCUUUUUAGAAGUGGUGAGCCAGUGGUAUGAGCUGGUGGUUUUCACCGCCAGCAUGGAGAUCUACGGCUCAGCAGUUGCAGACAAGCUGGACAACAAUAGGAACAUCCUGAAACGCAGAUACUACAGACAGCACUGUACAUUGGAUCUAGGUAGUUAUAUUAAAGACCUGUCUGUAGUACAUGAUGACCUGUCCAGUGUUGUGAUCCUGGAUAACUCGCCUGGAGCUUAUCGAAGCCAUCCAGACAAUGCGAUACCCAUCAAGUCCUGGUUCAGCGACCCUAGUGACACAGCCCUUCUAAACUUGCUGCCUAUGCUGGAUGCACUAAGAAGAUGGUCAUUAUUGAAAGAAAGCCAGAAGAUGUCCGUUUGAACGUUUAAAACAAGUUUGACGCUGCAGAAGACUUGAGACUAGGGUGGAGGUUCGAUUUGCAGCAGGACAACCACUCUAAAAUACGGUUCACUGCUGACGUUCGUUCCGUCCUCAGUCGAAACCUCCACCAGCACCGGCUCUGGUGAUUGGCUGAAUGGAGAGGCGUGCGGCCUGUUGAGCAGCCUCGUCCUCUCUGCCGGUCUCCAUCCUGCCCUCCUUUCCCACUCAGACGACCCACCAGCCCUGCCAGACGCAUCUUGAGGAGAUGGGGGGGGGGGGGUGAGCGCCUAACUCGGGAUGAACAGUACGGGAUCACCAGAACCCAAGAACUACUGGGGAGGGAGAGGGAAUCGGCUGGGUUUUUUUUGUUUGUUUUUGUCUUUUUUCCUCCUUAAAUCUUUUUUUUGUUUUGUUUUCUAAAACAAAACGGAGCCUCUCUGCCUUAUCGCUCCUAAUACUGACUGUAUGGGUAUGGAGGGGAGCUUGUGUAUGCGAGCUGGAGGUUGUUAGUCCUUUUUAAACUUUUUUGGAAGAUUUGGGAGGGAUAGUGAAGCGGAUCAGCACAGCAACAAAGACAAUUCUACGUCAUUAUCUCUGCCUCUCCUCCACCAUCAUCAUCAUCAUUGCAAUUCAGCAGCCACCUCACCUUACCUUCUGGGUGCAAAUCAAAGGGGGGAGCAUAGAAAACUAAAACUUUACUGUUCCUUUAUGUUUAACCAACUUUGUUCCCAGGCAUUGAGUCAUUUAUUUCUGAGGUACUAUUUUUCUGCUGCCCAACAAGAAUGGAUUUACUGAAAUGUUGAAAUUUGCUGGAGUUUGCUUGGAAUAAAACCUCCACGGGCCGUUUUUUUUUUUUUUUUUCCUGAACAGGUCCCCCCCCCUCCACUCCGUCAGGAUCAUCACUCUCAGCCCCAAAGCUUCUCAUGGGACUUGGUGACAUAAGACUUAAACAUUGUGAGAAAAACAAAUGGCUUGUUGAAGAUAUGUGGACUACCGUGCUGCUUUUCCAUAUCUGAUUGUUUUCUGCCACCAUAAAUGAUAAGAAUGAAGUCUCCAUACAAGACGUUUUGCUUUCUCAUUCUAAUGCCAUCCAGAUUUUACUUAAUAGGAAACCCCCCACCCACCCUCUUUUUGUUGCAGGUUUAUUUCUGUUUGACAACCUUCCCGGUUCUGUUUCCACCCCAGAUUGUAUGGGUUCAGAUGUAAGACCCUCCAUCUUAAAAAUGCCUUCUGAACAAUGUCGGUUUCGUCAAAAGCUCACAGCAGCUUCUUAUCGGCUCUGUCUCCAUGUCUGUGUUACUAAUAAAACACUCGUCAGUAUCGA